rnacentral:rRNA from 1 species
UACGGGGGGAGCAAGCGUUGGUUCGGAUUUACUGGGCGUAAAGGGCGCGUAGGCGGCGUGACAAGUCACUUGUGAAAUCUCCGGGCUUAACUCGGAACGGCCAAGUGAUACUGUCGUGCUAGAGUGCAGAAGGGGCAAUCGGAAUUCUUGGUGUAGCGGUGAAAUGCGUAGAUAUCAAGAGGAACACCUGAGGUGAAGACGGGUUGCUGGGCUGACACUGACGCUGAAGCGCGAAAGCUAGGGGAGCAAACGGG